UUUUUUUUACAUACACAUUAAAUUUUUUGGGGUCAUUUUUCAAGUCUGGUAAAUGCCACUGUGAUCAAAACCCCAUAAUUAUACUACACAAACUCUUCAGAAUAAAACAAUACCCCCAAUGUAUGUCUUUGCCACUAUCCUGCUAAGCUACAGUGCCUUAAGAGUCCUGACCACAGUUUUUACAAUUAGAAUUUGAUAAAUGGAUUUGAUGUAUCUAUAUCACAUUUUAGGGCAUUGUAGCAGUUUGACAGUUAAAAUUACCCCAUAAAUGCAUACCAUUUGUGAAAGUAGACACCACGGGCUAUGUCAUAUGGUAUAUUUUGAGCUUUAUUAUAUAGUUAUGUUAGCACCAAUUUCUUUCAAAUUUUAUAUUGUUUUAUUUUUGCAUUUUUAUACACACAUGUUGGAUUUUAGUGGUUAAUUUUGGAAACUAGAUAUAUGCUACUGUAAAUUAAAUCACUAAAUUAUUCUCAGCUAUAUAUCCUGAGUACAAAAUGACCCCCUUUGUACACCUUAGCCAGGUUUUUGUGAUAAAAUACAGGGCUAAAAUCGUACACGGCCCAGUAUAGUUUUUUUUUUUUUUUAAUGGCAAAUUGAUGAUGGGUCUUUUUCAUUUUGGGGCAUUUUAGUCGCUCAUAUAUUUAAAUUAUGCCACCAAUGUAUACUAUUUACAAAAGUGGACACCAUGGGGACUCUCACAUAAAAUAUUAGACGCUUUAUUGAAGUGACAUUUUGUUUCAAAAUUUG